AAAACGACUCUCGGCAACGGAUAUCUCGGCUCACGCAUCGAUGAAGAACGUAGCAAAAUGCGAUACUUGGUGUGAAUUGCAGAAUCCCGUGAACCAUCGAGUUUUUGAACGCAAGUUGCGCCCGAAGCCACUCGGCUGAGGGCACGUCUGCCUGGGCGUCACGC
rnacentral:rRNA from 1 species